rnacentral:lncRNA from 1 species
UUUCUGUGGUAAACCUGAUAAGGAUGUCAUAUAGUGGUGAAUACUGGACACUCACUAAUGCCUGCUUCUCUGUCUUCCUCUAUCAUAUAGGAUUCAGCAUCCACGAGAAAGACUGUGAAACACUCCUCAGCACAAUGAGAGAGCAUGAGAGGGUGAUGUCAUAAAGCUUCAGUGACUGACAGUCUAAUGGAUUGCAGCUGAGAAAACGUGUUUACCGGUGCAAGCUCUUCCAUAUGACUGAAGAAUCAAUCUCACACUGAGCUUGUGAUAAAACUUUUAUGCUUGUGUGUAAUGAGACAAGACCUCCCUACAUCAAAAUGGCUUAUUUUAAAGCAAUCCAGAUCAAAUUAAUGUAAUAAAUCACUUUGCAUGGUUUCUGAAAAUUUACUGGAAGUCACCAAGGCCUCAUUUGAUUUCUGAGAACUAGACUUUGAUCCGGAAGGAGAACUUCCUGUGUCUGAGCAACCUAACAUAGCAGUGGCUGGACGGUCACAUCUGUGACUCACUCAGAGAGGUGGGUGCUCUGAUGGAUCCCCGGAGAUGCUGCUAAUGCUGAUUUCCUCUGAGCACAACAGAGCCAGAAACAACUCUUAUCAGUUGUCUGUUGUUUGCCCAAAACCAAAGGCAGGUUUGAGAGGCCGCACGAUAAGUUAAACAUUUUUACAAUUGAGAGGCCGCACGAUAAGUUAAACAUUUUUACAACGUUUGGAUCCUUCUAACCUCUGAAGUCCAGUUCAGUGCAGCGAACCGAAAACAAAUGGUUGAACCAUUGUUUAAAAAGCCUGCUGGUUUUCAGUUGGCUCAAGCAGUGGUGUGUUAUAAUGCGGAUAAUGAACGUAGGAAGCAGCGAGUGUGUGUUUAAAGCACAGAGUGUCUACGUGAAUCAAUAUGGCUGAACUGGCCCAUCUCAGUUUCCAUGGCAACGGCCUCUACAUCCCCCGAGGGCUGCAGUGGGGGCGGGGCAGCGCCUCUCUCUCAGGCAGGACAGCGGGAACAGCAGCAUGGCACAAUAACCCACUUCACUCUCUGGCAUGGGGAAGCACCUGGAUAUUCCCAUGCUUUUUAUGCUCACCCGAGGGCUUCCCCGCUCCGCUCUCACAAAGACAGCAGCCACUCCCAGCCCUUGAUGGAGACUCCGAUGGAAGACACGAGAGCGAGCCGGUGACACCGGCAGAUGAAUCUGGCUCUUUUGUUCUGCAGUGUUGAGGUGCGGAGAGGCUUUUGUGAUGUUAAUCAUUCAUUGUGAAUCUCAGCGCCUGAGUGAUGCUGGCUGGACUUUCCCCGGCUCUCACACCAGCUCUAUGGCUUCUAUCCUAAAGACUGUGUCAGGCACCAGGAAGGGAAUCAGAGGGAGGCUACAGUACCUGCCUUCAGAGAGACACAGAGCUCCUCUCACACAAAACCUGGAACAAUGGAUUCAGUGGAAUGGAGCCUUGUACAUAUAGCCUGCAGUGUAAUAGUCCUGUACUUGAAAUGUUUCAUUAAUGAAACACUAUUACUAGUAUAAUAUAAUAUAAUAUAAUA